rnacentral:rRNA from 1 species
GACGAACGCUGGCGGCGUGCCUAACACAUGCAAGUUGAGCGACGAACCAGGGCUUGCCCUGGGGCAAAGCAGCGAACGGGUGAGUAACACGUGGGUAACCUACCCCGAUAACCGGGACAACCCGAGUAAACUCGGGCUAAUACCGGAUGUGCUCACUGGACUUCGGUUCAGUGCGUAAAGGAAGCUUCGGCCUCCGUAUCGGGAGGGGCCCGCGGCCCAUUAGUUGGUUGGUGAGGUAACGGCUCACCAAGACCGCGAUGGGUAGCUGGUCUGAGAGGACGAUCAGCCACACUGGGACUGAGACACGGCCCAGACUCCUACGGGAGGCAGCAGUGGGGAAUCUUGCGCAAUGCGCGAAAGCGUGACGCAGCAACGCCGCGUGGGGGAAGAAGGCCUUCGGGUUGUAAACCCCUUUCAGGAGGGACGAAGGUUCGGCGGUGAAUAGCCGUCCGGACUGACGGUACCUCCACAAGAAGCCCCGGCUAACUACGUG